rnacentral:rRNA from 1 species
AUUGAACGCUGGCGGCAGGCUUAACACAUGCAAGUCGAGCGAGCGGCAGACGGGUGAGUAAUGUCUGUGAACCUGCCUGAUGGAGGGGGAUAACUACUGGAAACGGUAGCUAAUACCGCAUACCAUCAGAUGUGCCCAGAUGGGAUUAGCUAGUAGGUGGGGUAAUGGCUCACCAAGGCGACGAUCCCUAGCUGGUCUGACAGGUUGACCAGCCACACUGGAACGGAGACACGGUCCAGCCUCCUACGGGAGGCAGCAGUGGGGAAUAUUGCACAAUGGGCGCAAGCCUGAUGCAGCAAUGCCGCGUGUGUGAGGAAGGCCUUCGGGUGUUAAAGCACUUUCAGCGAGGAGGCGUUACUCGCAGAAGAAGCACCGGCUAACUCCGGGCCAGCCGCCGCGGUAAUAC